rnacentral:rRNA from 1 species
GGAUUUACCCAUUGGUCAGGCUUAAUUGUCUGUACUGGUGAGAUAAAUCUCUACCUUCUGAGGAACUUUCAUGUCAUUAAUUUGGUGUGAUUGGAAAUCAGGACUGUUACUUUGAAAAAAUUAGAGUGUUUAAAGCAGGCUAACGUCUGAAUACAUUAGCAUGGAAUAAUGAAAUAGGACGGACUGAUUCUAUUUCGUUGGUUUCUAGGAUCACCGUA